UAAUAAGUGACUUAGCAAAUGUUGUUAAAUC
rnacentral:piRNA from 1 species